UGGGGAUAUGUCUGUAACUUUAAUAUUGUAGGGACUUAGGACUGAAAUUUUAUAUCUGAGGAUAAAUAGAACAAGGUCAUAGUUUGGGAGACAUCUGGUGCUAUACGAUAGUUUUCGUGGAAAAAUAGCUCGUCUACCUUAUAUUAUGAGCAUAUGCGCCAUUAGAAAACUCAUACGUUGAAAAAACAAUAUUUUCUGCAAAUGCUAUUGAAGGGAUACAUACUUCAACUCUGUUUUGAAAAGUGUUACAAGGUAUUAUACAUUUGGAAUCUUUCUUUACUUUAAGCAAAAUUCCGAUUAUAGGGACAGCUCUUUCAAUAUAUACAUUGGCUAACGUUUAGGAGCAUGCGGAUCUCAGUUGCUCUUCAUGUCAUUGCUAAAGGCUUGAAUUUGAAAUCUUUGAGGUACAUGUCACCAUGAAACUUCGGUAAGCUUCUUUGUUUUCCUAAUUCCUAAAAUUAAUUCAUAUAACAGGUUCCAACAUUUUUGGUAAUCUGAUGGAUGUUGGGGUUGUUUAGUCUGUGGAGAAGAAAGUUUUGGAAUUAGUUAGUUUCUAUUUUCACAUUCACACAUCUAUUGAUAACUUAUAACCCAUCUUUACGGUUCUGAAAAAAAAAUCUUUCACAUGCUCCAACCAUAUCCGUGAGA
rnacentral:lncRNA from 1 species